rnacentral:tRNA from 1 species
AGGGGCAUAGUUCAUCGGUAGAAUGCGGGUCUCCAAAACCUGUGAGGUUGGUUCGACUCCAACUGCCCCUGCCA